rnacentral:rRNA from 1 species
UACGUAGGGGGCAAGCGUUGUCCGGAAUUAUUGGGCGUAAAGCGCCCGUAGGCGGCCUGACAAGUUGGACGUGAAAGCUCCUGGCUUAACUGGGAGAGGCCGUUCAAAACUGUCAAGCUAGAGUCUGGAAGAGGAGAGCGGAAUUCCCGGUGUAGUGGUGGAAUGCGUAGAGAUCGGGAGGAACACCAGUGGCGAAAGCGGCUCUCUGGGCCUUACCUGACGCUGAGGCGCGAAAGCGUGGGGAGCGAACAGG